GGCCCUCCCGCGGCUUUCUGGGACUCGUAGUUCCGGGCCCUAGGCGCUGGCGCGGGUCAGUAUCACGAGUCCUGCGCUUCCAGGUAUCAGAUUCCACGUGAGAGGCGAGAAAGGCCUGGCAAGCAGCGCAGCCUGCGCAGCCGGUGGAGAGGCGUCUGGCGUUUGAGUCGUGGGAGUGUCGCCGGGAAUCUGUCCUUCCUGAAAGGAGAAAAUGACCAAGUUCCAGUCCUAUGUUCGCAGCAUGAUCCUGGAGUGCACCACCCUACUGAUGCUCAGCCCUUUCCUGGUGCACGUGUGUUCAGCUCUCAGGGGACACCUCUGCUGACUGGGCUUGGCAUGAAUCUAGUAAGAAUCCAGAUGGAGACUUGAAUGAAAAUUUUGUGGAAAAUGAAGAUAAAGUACUUAUGUUAUCUAUUACCUCUAGAGCCUUCCUGCUGGCAAAUUUUGGAAGAGGUGGCUUAGUACAGUAACGAGGAGUCAGAAUUAAAUUGUGAAUAUUCACAGGGAGGUGUAAGUAACCCUGAACUGGAUCUUUCUACUUGUCAGAAGUGGAGAAAAGUAUCUUCUAAUAUUUCCAGGAACCACAAGCAGUGUGGUGACUCUUCA
rnacentral:lncRNA from 1 species